rnacentral:rRNA from 1 species
AUUGAACGCUGGCGGCAGGCUUAACACAUGCAAGUCGAGCGGGGACUUCGGUCCUAGCGGCGAACGGGUGAGGAAUGCUUGGGAAUCUGCCCAGUAGCGGGGGAUAACGUUUCGAAAGGAACGCUAAUACCGCAUACGCCCUACGGGGGAAAGGGGGGGAUCUUCGGACCUCUCACUAUUGGAUGAGCCCAAGUCGGAUUAGCUAGUUGGUGGGGUAAAGGCCUACCAAGGCGACGAUCCGUAGCUGGUCUGAGAGGAUGAUCAGCCACACUGGAACUGAGACACGGUCCAGACUCCUACGGGAGGCAGCAGUGGGGAAUAUUGGACAAUGGGCGAAAGCCUGAUCCAGCCAUGCCGCGUGUGUGAAGAAGUCCUUCGGGUUGUAAAGCACUUUAAGCGAGGAGGAAUGGCUGAGGGUUAAUAACCUUCAGCAGUGACGUUACUCGCAGAAUAAGCACCGGCUAACUCUGUGCCAGCCGCCGCGGUAAUAC